GAUGAAGAACGUAGCGAAAUGCGAUAAGUAAUGUGAAUUGCAGAAUUCAGUGAAUCAUCGAAUCUUUGAACGCACAUUGCGCCCGCCAGUAUUCUGGCGGGCAUGCCUGUUCGAGCGUCAUUUCAACCAUCAAGCCCUGCUUGCGUUGGGGUCCUGCGGCUGCCCGCAGGCCCUGAAAACCAGUGGCGGGCUCGCUAGUCACACCGAGCGCAGUAAUACAUCUCGCUUUGGGCGUGCGGCGGGUUCUUGCCGUUAAACACCCCCUUUUUACCAAGGUUGACCUCGGAUCAGGUAGGAAUACCCGCUGAACUUAAGCAUAUCAAUAAGCGAGGA
rnacentral:misc_RNA from 1 species